GGCUACACACGUGCUACAAUGGGUAGUACAGAGAGUCGCAAAGCCGUGAGGUGGAGCUAAUCUCAGAAAACUAUUCUUAGUUCGGAUUGUACUCUGCAACUCGAGUACAUGAAGUUGGAAUCGCUAGUAAUCGCGAAUCAGCAAUGUCGCAGGUGAAUACGUUCUCGGGUCUUGUACACACCGCCCGUCACACCACGAGAGUUGGUUGCACCUGAAGUAGCAGGCCUAACCGUAAGGAGGGAUGCUCCGAGGGUGUGAUUAGCGAUUGGGGUGAAGUCGUAACAAGGUAUCCGUACGGGAACGU
rnacentral:rRNA from 1 species